rnacentral:rRNA from 1 species
AUUGAACGCUGGCGGCAGGCCUAACACAUGCAAGUCGAACGAGUGGCGUACGGGUGAGUAAUGUCUGGGAAACUGACUGAUGGAUGGGGAUAACUACUGGAAACUGUAGCUAAUACCGCAUACCAUCAGAUUUGCCCAGAUGGGAUUAGCUUGUUGGUUGGGUAACGGCUUACAAAGGCGACGAUCCCUAGCUGGUCUGAUAGGAUGACCAGCCACACUGGAAAUGAGACACGGUCCAGACGCCGACGGGAGGCAGCAGUGGGGAAUAUUGCACAAUGGGCGGAAGCCUGAUGCAGCCAUGCCGCGUGUAGGAAGAAGGCCUUCGGGUUGUAAAGUACUUUCAGCGGGGAGGCGUUACCCGCAGAAGAAGCACCGGCUAACUCCGUGCCAGCAGCCGCGGUAAUUC